GACGAACGCUGGCGGCGUGCUUAACACAUGCGAGUCGAACGGAAAGGCCCUGCUUUUGUGGGGUGCUCGAGUGGCGAACGGGUGAGUAACACGUGAGUAACCUGCCCUUGACUUUGGGAUAACUUCAGGAAACUGGGGCUAAUACCGGAUAGGAGCUCCUGCUGCAUGGUGGGGGUUGGAAAGUUUCGGCGGUUGGGGAUGGACUCGCGGCUUAUCAGCUUGUUGGUGGGGUAGUGGCUUACCAAGGCUUUGACGGGUAUCCGGCCUGAGAGGGUGACCGGCCACAUUGGGACUGAGAUACGGCCCAGACUCCUACGGGAGACAGCAGUGGGGAAUAUUGCACAAUGGGCGGAAGCCUGAUGCAGCAACGCCGCGUGCGGGAUGACGGCCUUCGGGUUGUAAACCGCUUUCGCCUGUGACGAAGCGUGAGUGACGGUAAUGGGUAAAGAAGCACCGGCUAACUACGUG
rnacentral:rRNA from 1 species